GCCUCGUUAGUGCAACGGUUCGAACACGCUUCACCCCCAUAGGGUGAAUUUGGGUUCGAGUCUCAGCUGGGGCA